UUGAACGCUGGCGGCAUGCCUUACACAUGCAAGUCGAACGGCAGCGCGGACUUCGGUCUGGCGGCGAGUGGCGAACGGGUGAGUAAUACAUCGGAACGUACCCUGUUGUGGGGGAUAACAAGUCGAAAGAUUAGCUAAUACCGCAUACGACCUGAGGGUGAAAGUGGGGGACCGCAAGGCCUCACGCAGCAGGAGCGGCCGAUGUCUGAUUAGCUAGUUGGUGGGGUAAAGGCCCACCAAGGCGACGAUCAGUAGCUAGUCUGAGAGGACGAUCAGCCACACUGGGACUGAGACACGGCCCAGACUCCUACGGGAGGCAGCAGUGGGGAAUUUUGGACAAUGGGGGCAACCCUGAUCCAGCAAUGCCGCGUGUGCGAAGAAGGCCUUCGGGUUGUAAAGCACUUUUGUCCGGAAAGAAAUCGCGCUGGUUAAUACCUGGCGUGGAUGACGGUACCGGAAGAAUAAGCACCGGCUAACUACGUG
rnacentral:rRNA from 1 species